rfam:Felis catus isolate Cinnamon breed Abyssinian chromosome B1, whole genome shotgun sequence.
GCCUGGGUUGCUCAGUUGGUUGAGCAUCUGACUUUGGCUCAGGUCAUGAUCUCAUGGUUUGUGGGUUUGAGCCCCGCCUCGGGCU